UUUUCUCCUCAAUUAUAAUUCUCUCUUUUCUCUCACAGUAAACACAACACACACCCACGCCACUCUCUCAUCUCUCCCACGGCUUCUCUCUCUCUCUCUCUCAUCAAAUUUCUUCCCCAAAUCUCAAAUUAACCAAGGGAUCUUGGAGUAUUAUUCUCCUAGAGUCGAGUUCUAGCCUUUGAUCGCGUUGGAAAGCUCGGAGGAGGUGUUUUCGGGAGAGGUUUUGCCUGGAGAUUCUUGGGGUUUUAAUUUCAACCUUCGAGGUACUCGCCAUGGCACUUAGCUUGGAUUGCAUGGAGUGCACAUUGAGACGUCUCUUGGGAGCUUCAUUGGAAUUAUUAAGGAGUUGUUUAUCAUCUAGUCUAAUUCAUGUUGUGUACUUCACCUGCAAUUGAAUGUAGUAUCUUUUGGUUUGAACAUAUGUAAAGCUAUGUAUAAACUCAUCUCUUUGAUUAUUGUGAAGCCCUUUUUAAUGGAA